ACGGUCACAGCGCAUUGAAACACCGGUUCUCAUUCGAUCACCGAAGUUAAGCAACGCCGAGACUGGUCAUUACUUCGAUAGGUGACCUCCUGGGAAUACUAGAUG
rnacentral:rRNA from 1 species